ACGCUCGACACCUACGGGAUGCAGCAGUGGGGAAUAUUGCACAAUGGGGGAAACCCUGAUGCAGCGACGCCGCGUGAGCGAAGAAGUAUUUCGGUAUGUAAAGCUCUAUCAGCGAGGGAAAGAAACUGACGGUACCUGACUAAGAACGCACCGGCUAAAUACGUGCCAGCAGCCGCGGUAAUCNGAGCGGCUGGCAAGGC
rnacentral:rRNA from 1 species